UAUUUGAAAUUUGACCUGCCCAAUGAUUAUUUUAAUGGCCGCGGUAUAUUGACCGUGCAAAGGUAGCAUAAUCAUUAGUCUAUUAAUUGUGGACUUGUAUGAAUGGUUGGACGAAAUAUUUACUGUCUCAUAUUAAUUUAUUUUGAAUUUAAUUUUUUAGUUAGAAAGCUAAAAUUUUUUUGUAGGACGAGAAGACCCUAUAGAUCUUUAUUAUUUUUAUUUUUAAUUAAUUUAGUUUAUUUUUUGUUAAUUUUAUUGGAUUUUUUGGUUGGGGUGACAGGGAGAUAUUUUAACUCUUUUAUAGUAUUUACAAUGAUUUUUGAAUAGUUUGAUUUUAUAUUAAUGUUUAUUAGAUUAGAUACCUUAGGGAUAACAGCGUAAUUCUUUUUGAGAGUUCAUAUCGACAAGAGAGAUUGCGACCUCGAUGUUGGAUUAAGAAUAGUUUUAGGUGUAGGUGCUUAAUAAUUAGGUCUGUUCGACCUUUAAAUUCUUACGUGAUCUGA
rnacentral:rRNA from 1 species